GUUCAAAAGAGGAAAGGCUUGCGGUGGAUACCUAGGCACCCAGAGACGAGGAAGGGCGUAGCAAGCGACGAAAUGCUUCGGGGAGUUGAAAAUAAGCAUAGAUCCGGAGAUUCCCAAAUAGGUCAACCUUUUAAACUGCCU
rfam:Hordeum vulgare subsp. vulgare, WGS project CAJW01000000 data, contig: morex_contig_1516006